UACGUAGGGCGCAAGCGUUAUCCGGAAUUAUUGGGCGUAAAGAGCCCGUAGGCGGUUUGUCGCGUCUGCCGUGAAAGUCCGGGGCUCAACUCCGGAUCUGCGGUGGGUACGGGCAGACUAGAGUGAUGUAGGGGAGACUGGAAUUCCUGGUGUAGCGGUGAAAUGCGCAGAUAUCAGGAGGAACACCGAUGGCGAAGGCAGGUCUCUGGGCAUUAACUGACGCUGAGGAGCGAAAGCGUGGGGAGCGAACAGG
rnacentral:rRNA from 1 species